AUCUGUCCAUGGGUGGGGGAUAACACUGGGAAACUGGUGCUAAUACCGCAUGACACCUGAGGGUCAAAGGCGAGAGUCGCCUGUGGAGGAACCUGCGUUCGAUUAGCUAGUUGGUGGGGUAACUGCCUACCAAGGCGAUGAUCGAUAGCUGGUCUGAGAGGAUGAUCAGCCACACUGGGACUGAGACACGGCCCAGACUCCUACGGGAGGCAGCAGUGGGGAAUAUUGGACAAUGGGGGCAACCCUGAUCCAGCAAUGCCGCGUGUGUGAAGAAGGUCUUCGGAUUGUAAAGCACUUUCGACGGGGACGAUGAUGACGGUACCCGUAGAAGAAGCCCCGGCUAACUUCGUGCCAGCAGCCGCGGUAAUACGAAGGGGGCUAGCGUUGCUCGGAAUGACUGGGCGUAAAGGGCGCGUAGGCGGUUGUUACAGUCAGAUGUGAAAUUCCUGGGCUUAACCUGGGGGCUGCAUUUGAUACGUGAUGACUAGAGUGUGAGAGAGGGUUGUGGAAUUCCCAGUGUAGAGGUGAAAUUCGUAGAUAUUGGGAAGAACACCGGUGGCGAAGGCGGCAA
rnacentral:rRNA from 1 species